UACAGAGGUCUCUAGCGUUGUUCGGAUUCAUUGGGCGUAAAGGGUGCGUAGGCGGCGCGGUAAGUCGGGCGUGAAAUCUCGGGGCUUAACUCCGAAACUGCAUUCGAUACUGCCGUGCUUGAGGACUGGAGAGGAGACUGGAAUUUACGGUGUAGCGGUGAAAUGCGUAGAUAUCGUAAGGAAGACCAGUGGCGAAGGCGGGUCUCUGGACAGUUCCUGACGCUGAGGCACGAAGGUCAGGGGAGCAAACGGG
rnacentral:rRNA from 1 species